AGAGUUUGAUCAUGGCUCAGGAUGAACGCUAGCGGCAGGCCUAAUACAUGCAAGUCGAGGGGCAGCGGGAGUAGCAAUACUUGCCGGCGACCGGCGCACGGGUGCGUAACACGUAUACAAUCUGCCUAUAACAGGGGGAUAGCCCGGAGAAAUCCGGAUUAACCCCCCAUAAUAAUAGAAGAAGCAUUUCUUUUAUUUGAAAACUACGGUGGUUAUAGAUGAGUAUGCGUAUGAUUAGCUAGUUGGUAGUGUAACGGACUACCAAGGCAACGAUCAUUAGGGGUACUGAGAGGUUAAACCCCCACACGGAUACUGAGACACGGAUCCGACUCCUACGGGAGGCAGCAGUAAGGAAUAUUGGACAAUGGCCGCAAGGCUGAUCCAGCCAUGCCGCGUGCAGGAAGAAGGCGCUAUGCGUUGUAAACUGCUUUUGAACCAGAGAAAACCCCUCUACGUGUAGAGGGCUGAUAGUAUGGUUAGAAUAAGCAUCGGCUAACUUCGUGCCAGCAGCCGCGGUAAGACGAAGGAUGCAAGCGUUAUCCGGAUUCAUUGGGUUUAAAGGGAGCGUAGGCGGGCUUGUAAGUCAGUGGUGAAAUCUCUGGGCUUAACCCAGAAACUGCCAUUGAUACUGCAGGUCUAGAGUACAUUUGCUGUGGGCGGAAUAUGACAUGUAGUGGUGAAAUACUUAGAUAUGUCAUAGAACACCGAUUGCGAAGGCAGCUCACAAAAAUGUAACUGACGCUGAGGCUCGAAAGUGCGGGGAUCAAACAGGAUUAGAUACCCUAGUAGUCC
rnacentral:rRNA from 1 species